GGCGGAUCCAGGAUUUGAAGGUUCCGGGUGCCACACCAUCCAAAUAGGAUAAACGGGUCGGUUUGUUGGAUUUUGGGUUACGGUUCAGAUACAAAGUUGAGAAAGAAUCAAGAAUUGUAGCUUUAAUUCAAUCAUCUUCACUUAGCGCAAACAUCGGUGAAAGAUCACAAUAUCCUUUAAAUUUUAUCAUAAUAUUAUUUAUCCUUAUUACUUAAUAUUUAUGUGAUAUUUUAAAAUUUAGUACUCAUUGAUAUGGGAUAUGCACGCAACGUGUAUAUCAAGAGAUUAAUAAUUGAGAAAGAGGGAGGAAAAAAAGGUCAAGAAUUAAUUAAAGCAAGUAAAGAAGAAUUGAAGAAAAAAAUAAAAAAUGAAAAAUGAAAAAGGAUACAGCUGAUGCGUGUAAUUAGCAGCAAGCAAAAGAGCAAGCCAAAAAAUAUGUGCUAGAUGAGAUUCGAACUCAGGUCAAUUGUGUGGUAUGGUAUGCCCUUCACCAGUGGCACCAUUCCCUCCUUUGUUAGUAUGGGUGGCAAGAUCAAUAUAUAUUGAAUUUUGUAUACAUAUGCACAUACAUAUACGAAUUUCUACCGAAGUGUCCGGGUGGCGUGGCACCCCCAGCCCUCCACAUAGAUCCGCCCCUGUGUCGACUACAUGUUUGUCCAUGUGUUAGGUGUGAUUUUUUACCCAUACAAUAGCCUACGCCAAUGAACUCAUGACUUAUAGAUACAAUAAUUUUACUGUUGAAAACUCACAAACUUACCCAGCUGAUCCUAUUUUUUUUGACAAAAAAAAAAAAAAAAAAAAAAAAAUCAGCAUGUGUUUGUUAAAUAAAUUUUUAUUACUUAUAUAGCAGCAGUAGUAGUUAUUAUAUGCAUUCUUCACCUAACAAUCUACUAGACAAUAGAGUUGCAAGAAAUCUGGCACGAGGAUAACACCGUCAUAAUAAACUUUCAGGGAUUAAAUAGUCUUCCCUCAAUUUCAUCUCAUAAAAUUAGCUCCGAAAAUCAUCAGUAAAGUUGUUACUGUAUUUUGUUGUAAUCCAUCGUAUUUGAAAUUGAACGCCGACAAGAUUAAAAAAUAGAUAUGAAACAAAGGAGAAUUUACGAAUUGAAGUCUUACAAAUAAGCAAAAAAAAAAAAAAAAAAAAAAAAGUCAAUAUCAGAACCCGAAAGUUGUACUAUA